rnacentral:rRNA from 1 species
UACAGAGGUCUCAAGCGUUGUUCGGAUUCAUUGGGCGUAAAGGGUGCGUAGGUGGCGCCAUAAGUCAGGUGUGAAAUUUCGGAGCUUAACUCCGAAACUGCAUUUGAUACUGUGGUGCUUGAGGACUGGAGAGGAGACUGGAAUUUACGGUGUAGCAGUGAAAUGCGUAGAUAUCGGGAGGAACACCUGUGGCGAAAGCGGCGCACUGGACCACUUCUGACGCUGAGGCGCGAAAGCUAGGGGAGCAAACAGG